rnacentral:tRNA from 1 species
GGCCUCGUAGCUCAGCUAGUAGAGCACUGGCGGUACUAAAGUGGGGUGGUAACCAUGCGCGGGUUCGAUUCCCGCCGGGGCCG